rnacentral:tRNA from 1 species
GCCCCCGUGGCUUAACGGUUAUUGCGCUUGCCUUCUGCGCAAGGCCAGGGUUCGAUUCCUGGCCGUGGCU